CCGAGCUUUCAUUGUAACCUAGAAGUGUUCAUCUGGGCAUCUUUUGUUUCAUGCAACAAUACUAUGUGACGUUCGGUGCAACAACCAAUUUUUCUUCUUCUUUUCAUUCUCAUUUUCCCGUGCUUCCAUUGUAACCCAGAAAUGUUCAUCUGGGACAUCUUUUGUUUCAUGCAACAAUACUAUGUGACGUUCGGUGCAAC
rnacentral:lncRNA from 1 species